rnacentral:lncRNA from 1 species
AAUCUAAAAUUUGUUAUAACAGAAUAGCUAGUUGUAGGAAAGUUGUAAGCUCUCUUAAGUUAGAAAAUAACCGUGUCAUAGUCGUAAUACAACUAUAAUAUAACUGAAAGAUAACUGACUUGAAGCCUUGUUGGCUGAGUAAUAGAUCAACUAAAAUUGAUGUCCCACUAAUAUAAACUGAGUAGGUCGUCUAUUAUAGCACCA